rnacentral:lncRNA from 1 species
AUUGAAGGUGGAGCGCGAUUGCACAGUUAAUUAAUUAUAUUGAUGUGCCAUUUGUAUGCAAGAGUGACAUUCCGUUGUAUUAUGUGCCAAUUCGAAAAAGUUAUGCGAGUAUUGUCUCCCUUUAACAGGUUCAUUAUUUUAUAAUUAAGUUUAGGUUUCUGAUAUAAAUUUGAAUAGUUACAAAAUGUAUCAAUUCAAUAUAUUUCAGUUUUUGUUAUUGGUGUAUCAAAAACAUUGAUGUACGAAUUUAAUUUCAUAAAUUUGAAAAGUUUAAAAUGAUUACAUACCAAUAUAAAGAACCGUUCAUCAUUUUUGAAAAAGACUAUGAUUGAAAUUCGUAUUAUUUAUCUUCCCUUCAUGAUAGAUUGAUUGGGAAAUGAACCAAAGUUCUCUACAGGUAAUCACAGAGAGGGACUAGCAAGCAAUUUUUAAUUGUAGCUUAUUUAACGUUAAAACAACUUUCCACUAUAAACAAAUGUUAUUUUAUACAAAUAUAAGGACCUUGUUAGCUAAAUCUACAAAUUUUAUUAGAUAUUAUGAAUUUUUAUUACAAUAGAUUAAUAUGCUA